rnacentral:rRNA from 1 species
AGAGUUUGAUUCUGGCUCAGAACGAACGCUGGCAGCGUGGAUUAGGCAUGCAAGUCGAACGGGAAGUCGUUGUUUCAAUCUUCGGAAAGAAAUGACGGCGGAUAGUGGCGAAAGGGUGAGUAACGCGUGGGUAACCUGCCCCUGAGUUGGGGACAACCCACCGAAAGGUGGGCUAAUACCGAAUAUGAUGCUCCGUCGCAUGGCGGGGACAUCAAAGGUGGGGAUUCUUCGGAACCUGCCGCUCGGGGAUGGACCCGCGUCCCAUCAGCUAGUUGGUAGGGUAACGGCCUACCAAGGCUUACGGGUAGCCGGCCUGAGAGGGUGAUCGGCCACACCGGGACUGAGACACUGCCCAGACUCCUACGGGAGGCUGCAGUCGAGGAUCAUUCGCAAUGCGCGAAAGCGUGACGAUGCGGCGCUGCGUGGAGGAUGAAGGCUUUCGGGUUGUAAAACUCCUGUCAUGAGGGAAAAGCCGCACGAGUGUUAAUAACAUUUGUGCCCGAUGGUACCUCAAGAGGAAGCGACGGCUAACUCUGUGCCAGCAGCCGCGGUAAUACAGAGGUCGCUAGCGUUGCUCGGAUUUACUGGGCGUAAAGAGUGCGUAGGUGGUCCCGUGUGUCGGUUGUGAAAUCACACAGCUCAACUGUGGAAUUGCGACCGAAACUGCGGAGCUUGAGUGCAGGAGGGGAGAGCGGAAUUCUUGGUGUAGCGGUGAAAUGCGUUGAUAUCAAGAGGAACACCGGUGGCGAAGGCGGCUCUCUGGAAUGUUACUGACACUGAGGCACGAAAGCUGGGGGAGCAAACAGGAUUAGAUACCCUGGUAGUCCCAGCCGUAAACGGUGCACACUUGGUGUGGGAGGUAUUGACCCCUUCCGUGCCGGAGCUAACGCGUUAAGUGUGCCGCCUGGGGAGUACGGCCGCAAGGCUAAAACCCAAAGAAAUUGACGGGGGCCCGCACAAGCGGAGGAGCAUGUGGCUUAAUUCGAUGCAACGCGAAGAACCUUACCUGGGUUUGACAUGGUGACUCUUCGGAGGUGGGAAUGAAAGUUCCCUUUACACACACAGGUGCUGCAUGGCUGUCGUCAGUUCGUGCCGUGAGGUGUUGGGUUAAGUCCCGCAACGAACGCAACCCUUGUGUUUAGUUGCCACCGACGGUGAUGAGCCGUCGAGCACUCUAGACAGACUGCCCGUACAAGCGGGAGGAAGGUGGGGAUGACGUCAAGUCAGUAUGGCCCUUACACCCAGGGCUGCACACGUGCUACAAUGGUCGGUACAGUUGGAUGCAAUACCGCGAGGUGGAGCAAAUCCUUAAAACCGGCCCAAGUUCAGAUUGGAGUCUGCAACUCGACUCCAUGAAGUUGGAUUCGCUAGUAACGGCGUAUCAGCUACGACGCCGUGAAUACGUUCCCGGGCCUUGUACACACCGCCCGUCACAUCAUGAAAGCCGUCUGCACCCGAAGUCGCUGAGCCAACCCGCAAGGGAGGCAGGCGCCGAAGGUGUGGGUGGUGAUUGGGAUGAAGUCGUAACAAGGUA